rnacentral:rRNA from 1 species
GAUGAACGCUGGCGGCGUGCCUAAUACAUGCCGGUCGAGCGAACGGACGAGAAGCUUGCUUCUCUGAUGUUAGCGGCGGACGGGUGAGUAACACGUGGAUAACCUACCUAUAAGACUGGGAUAACUUCGGGAAACCGGAGCUAAUACCGGAUGAUAUUUUGAACCGCAUGGUUCAAAAGUGAAAGACGGUCUUGCUGUCACUUAUAGAUGGAUCCGCGCUGCAUUAGCUAGUUGGUAAGGUAACGGCUUACCAAGGCAACGAUGCAUAGCCGACCUGAGAGGGUGAUCGGCCACACUGGAACUGAGACACGGUCCAGACUCCUACGGGAGGCAGCAGUAGGGAAUCUUCCGCAAUGGGCGAAAGCCUGACGGAGCAACGCCGCGUGAGUGAUGAAGGUCUUCGGAUCGUAAAACUCUGUUAUUAGGGAAGAACAUAUGUGUAAGUAACUGUGCACAUCUUGACGGUACCUAAUCAGAAAGCCACGGCUAACUACGUG